AAUACCGGUAAAAACAUCUUUGAUUUUUAUAAUAGUAGAGAUAUAGUUUAGUUAAGGUGAAAUUUACUGUAGAAAUUCGGUUGGAUAUAUAUAUUUUUAGAAAAUUAUGAGCUGCAGUUAGGAGUCUGUUCGUAUUAAGUAAUCAUGUGAGUUUUCAGAAGCGAAGAACUUAAAAACUGACUCAAAUACGGAUAUAUAUUUCUAAAAGUGAACAACCUUAAAAACGGGCUGAUACACGGAUGACGUACCAAAGUACUGGCAAAAAAUAAUAUUUUCAAUUUUUAUAAUAGUUGAGAUAUGGUGGGAAGAUUUCUAUCGCCGCCACAUCCUUCGUGAACUAGAUAUGGAAUUGCAUGAGAGAGAUGAUGAGUUACAUGGAGGGAACUAUAAACGGACGUCUGAUUUCCUUAAAAAAAAAAUUGGACGGUACCAUGUUUCAGUUGACCCACUACUGAGAAAAUGAUUUUCACAGACAAGGUGCUUCUAAAUUUCUAUGCGGAGAUAAUUGUUGCCACCAACGGUCCCGCCUGCAACAUGUGGGAGGGGCGACAUGGCUGUCCAUCUGCAAAUGUCAAUCUUCCCUAGCGGACGACACAAGGAGCUGUGCUUGGAAGAUCCAUCUUCGCGACGGACCUUAUGUGGUCCACAUGAAAGAUUGAUGAUUUUCUCAGACGGACACCUUAAAGAUUGGUGUAUCGAGCGCAACGGUGAAUCAAGUCUGGCAGGUACGUACGGCUUGAAGCUGGCAUGAAAACUCGCCGGAGCCAUGCGGCAUGCCCUUGCGGCCGAUCGUGAAUGCAACCUUCUCUGGUGUGUGAAUCGGAGUCACGGCCAUCUGUGGGGGCAAGUAUUGUGGUGGGGCCGAACAGUAUCACCGCGCGCGGGGGCGGGGCCGCGGGGGGAGCGCCUGAUUUUUUGCUCCCCCGUCGGUCGACUGACGAAGAGCAUUAUCGGAAGAAAAUUUAUUUCUAUUUCAAAGACGGCUGCAUGCAUGGAGUGAAGAAAGAAUGAGAGAAUAGAGGCAGGUAGUUGCAUAAGUUAUUUGAAACAAAGUAAAAACACAUGCUGAAAUAUUUCCAACUCGAUCAACUACUAUUCUAAAUACAUGGUGAAAAAAUAAAUGAAAUAUCUAAACUAAUCCCACUACUAUUCUUUGGGAUAUGCAUGGGCACGAAGUCGUCCAAUGGGAUAUACCUAACACGGAUGGAUACCUCUCAAAUUGUUCAUCGUAUCUUUCUUUCUAGCCAGUCAAGCACUGGUGAAUACAUGAGUGUACCUAACUACCUGUCUAGCCCAUGCCUUUUUUAGUGCUGGAAAUCAAAUGAAGUGAAAAUUUCCAUCCGAUCGAUGAACUGAACAAAUUAAGCUUUUCGAAAAUCAAAUGCUCUGAAAAACUCAUCCGAUCAAUGGACUGAACAAAUUAAACUUUCCGAAAUAUAUAAAUACAGAAAUAAAUGCAAAUCAUGUAUUCACCCAUGCUUGACUGACUUGUAAGAAAGAUACGAUGAACAAUUUGAGAGGUAUCCAUCCGUGUUAGGUAUUCCAGCCAUUAACCCGUCGUUACACGGCACCUAUAUUGUUAUUGCUAUUUUAUAUAUAUAUAUAUAUAUAUAUAUACAUAUACAUAUACAUAUAUAUAUAUAUACAUAUACAUAUAUAUAUAUAUAUGAGUUGGAUUAUUUGCACUCGAGCACACAUGCACCCACAAUCUACACUUUACAUAUAGGUUGCACGAAUCUUAGAGCAGGUACAUUAGGUACUAACAA